CGGCGCGUGGCGAAAUGGCAGACGCAGCAGACUUAAAAUCUGCUGGAGGAAACUCCGUGCGGGUUCGAGUCCCGCCGCGCCGA
rnacentral:tRNA from 1 species